CAGCAGCCGCGGUAAUACGUAGGUGGCAAGCGUUGUCCGGAAUUAUUGGGCGUAAAGGGCUCGCAGGCGGUUUCCUAAGUCUGAUGUGAAAGCCCCCGGCUCAACCGGGGAGGGUCAUUGGAAACUGGGAAACUUGAGUGCAGAAGAGGAGAGUGGAAUUCCACGUGUAGCGGUGAAAUGCGUAGAGAUGUGGAGGAACACCAGUGGCGAAGGCGACUCUCUAGUCUGUAACUGACGCUGAGGAGCGAAAGCGUGGGGAGCGAACAGGAUUAGAUACCCGCGUAGUCCCUGUCUCUUAUAC
rnacentral:rRNA from 1 species